GCUGUAGCUCAGUGGCAGAACAUCUGCCUUCCAUGUAGUAGGUCCAAGGUUCAAUUCCUGCCAUCUCCA